rnacentral:tRNA from 1 species
GGCCUCGUAGUUCCUCUGGUAAAACGUGCGCGUUCAAAACGUGGGCGGCGUCCAUGCGUGGGUUCGAAUCCCACCGAGGCUA